UACGAAGGGGGCUAGCGUUGCUCGGAAUUACUGGGCGUAAAGGGUGCGUAGGCGGGUCUUUAAGUCAGAGGUGAAAUCCUGGAGCUCAACUCCAGAACUGCCUUUGAUACUGAGGAUCUUGAGUUCGGGAGAGGUGAGUGGAACUGCGAGUGUAGAGGUGAAAUUCGUAGAUAUUCGCAAGAACACCAGUGGCGAAGGCGGACUCACUGGCCCGAUACUGACGCUGAG
rnacentral:rRNA from 1 species